UCUGAGUGGCCUAUAGAAUUUGCCAUUUUGUUGCCCACUCACCCAGUUUGGAGAGAUUUUUUAGAGCACCUCACAAUUGUUUUGGAUUUCACUACCCUAAAUAGUUUGGUAUCAUCUGCAAAUUUGGCCACCUCACUGCUUACCCCAACUUCUAGAUCAUUUAUAAAUAAAUUAAAAAGCACCAGUCUCAGUACAGAUCCCUGGGGGACCCCACUUCUUACUUAUCCAGUAAGUAAUCCCUACAGGAUAAAUACACAUGUGUAUAGACACUGAUCCAAAAGCAUGACUUUUCCACUAUGGGAACUGGCUGGGUUCCUGUGCAACUGUGGCAAUGUUUUUGAAAAGACAAUGAGGCUGUUCUUACAUGCAGCCUAAUCCAGGCUAAGGAAAUGUGUGUAAGAACUGCCAGGAUCGGACACAAUCCCAGUGGGGAAGCGCUGCCUAGCCCAGCUUUUCAUCUGGCUUUUAGCCAGGGUUAAAGGCACGAAUGUGCCCUUAACCUGGGCUCCAGGAUUGUGUGUUCACUCAGGCUGCGUUCAGCCCCAGCAGACACAGAGAUGAGCGUAUAGAGCUCCCAUCUCCUGGGGGAAUCCCCCAAUGCACCGCACAUGUUGUGUGGUGCUGUAGUGAUCAGCCACCUCUCCCCUAAAGAGUUAAACAGAAGUGAACCCUGUCCUGAUUGACAGGCUGGUGAACUCCAGGGCUCAGCCAAUCAGCACACCAGGUGGGUGGGACCUAGAGAGCCAUUUGGGGGAAGGAGAGGCUCUUUGUUAGAAGAAGUCAGGCUGGAGAAGCAUGAAUGGAAAUACUUUGUGAGGAGCAAUGGAGUUUUGCUCCCUCAUGGUCAAAGCUAGCUUGGAGAUUUCUCUCAUGGAAUGACCUCUGCAGCUCCUUGGAGGACAGGAGGACAGGAAACUUGAAUUCUCUUCCAGAGUUUGGGUGAGUUCAAAGCAAGGAAGCCAGGGCUUUGAGUGUCAGGCCUUUGUUCCAGGAGGAGUGGGAGGCAGUGAAUUUACCUGAGGAUCCCGAGGGCCAACUUUGUGAUCAGAGUGAGGAGGCACUCGGAGGGCAUGGUACAAGAGGCAGAGCAGAGUGAUGAAUCCCAGGAGGAACUCUUGCUGCUGGUGUUAUCUCCCAGGACAGGCAGGCAUGAGAAGCGGCAUGACCAAAUCAGGGAAUUGAGACAAAGCAGUCGCUUGCAGCAUGCACGAGACUAAUUGAAGGUGCCUGACUGGGUGGAGCACUGAUGGAUUCCAACUGACAACCUGCUAUAAAUUCUGCAACUUCACUCGUUAGACAGCCUUGAUACCUCCCUCUGUGACGCCUUGGACUCGGGAUCUCUGGAAUCUGCAGCUGGAUGAAAACCUAGUGCCUGACUAAAAGAAGUGUGGUAACCAGAGACAUCUCUUUGCCUGCUGCUGCGUCAUAAAUUGCGGAUGGCUCAUCGAGUCUGGAGUAUCCUUUGCCAGAAAGCUCAGCAGGGAUGAUUCAGCAUUUCAUGCAAGCUUGCUCUGAGACAAAGGCUAUAACCCACUACAGGUGCAUUGUGGGAUAUAUGGCAUUCUGUGCUGUGCCAUACAGCUCAGAUCAUCUGAGAGCAUGGUCUGCUCUCAUGGUCCAGCAACAUUUCAGCAAAUGUCUAAGGAGAAGGUGAGUUGAACCAGCCACCCUCCCCUCCCACCAAUCCAGUUUUGUGAAUGGCCCCAAUUUAUUAAAGUACUUCUCAAAAAUGAAUAUACAUAUACCUGUGUGUGUGUGUCCCCAUUUUUGAGAAGUACUGUAAUAAAUUGUCUGUCUGUCUAUCUAUCUAUCUAUCUAUCUAUCUAUCUAUCUAUCUAUCUAUGGGAGGGAGGUUCAGACAACACAUGGAACCAUGGU